rnacentral:rRNA from 1 species
CGAGUUUGAUCCUGGCUCAGAGUGAACGCUGGCGGCAGGCCUAACACAUGCAAGUCGAGCGGCAGCGCGUCCGACCACCCUCGGGUGGUCGGAUGGCGGCGAGCGGCGGACGGGUGAGGAAUGCAUCGGAAUCUGCCUCGUUGUGGGGGAUAACGUAGGGAAACUUACGCUAAUACCGCAUACGACCUACGGGUGAAAGUGGGGGGACCUUCGGGCCUCACGCGAUGAGAUGAGCCGAUGCCGGAUUAGCUAGUUGGCGGGGUAAAGGCCCACCAAGGCGACGAUCCGUAGCUGGUCUGAGAGGAUGAUCAGCCACACUGGAACUGAGACACGGUCCAGACUCCUACGGGAGGCAGCAGUGGGGAAUAUUGGACAAUGGGGGGCAACCCUGAUCCAGCCAUGCCGCGUGUGUGAAGAAGGCCUUCGGGUUGUAAAGCACUUUUGUUGGGGAAGAAACCGGCCGGGUUAAUACCCUGGUUGAAUGACGGUACCCAAAGAAUAAGCACCGGCUAACUUCGUG